UGGGGAAUAUUGCACAAUGGGCGCAAGCCUGAUGCAGCGACGCCGCGUGAGGGAUGACGGCCUUCGGGUUGUAAACCUCUGUUAGCAGGGAAGAAGAGAAAUUGACGGUACCUGCAGAGAAAGCGCCGGCUAACUACGUGCCAGCAGCCGCGGUAAUACGUAGGGCGCGAGCGUUGUCCGGAAUUAUUGGGCGUAAAGAGCUUGUAGGCGGUUUGUCGCGUCUGCUGUGAAAGGCCGGGGCUUAACCCCGUGUAUUGCAGUGGGUACGGGCAGACUAGAGUGCAGUAGGGGAGACUGGAACUCCUGGUGUAGCGGUGGAAUGCGCAGAUAUCAGGAAGAACACCGAUGGCGAAGGCAGGUCUCUGGGCUGUAACUGACGCUGAGAAGCGAAAGCAUGGGGAGCGAACAGGAUUAGACACCCUGGUAGUCCAUGCCGUAAACGUUGGGCACUAGGUGUGGGGGACAUUCCACGUUUUCCGCGCCGUAGCUAACGCAUUAAGUGCCCCGCCUGGGGAGUACGGCCGCAAGGCUA
rnacentral:rRNA from 1 species